CAAUAGCGUAUAUUAAAGUUGUUGCGGUUAAAAAGCUCGUAGUUGGAUUUCUGCUGAGGACGAUCGGUCCGCCCACUGGGUGAGUAUCUGGCUCGGCCUUGGCAUCUUCUUGGAGAACGUUGCUGCACUUGACUGUGUGGUGCGGUAUCCAGGACUUUUACUUUGAGGAAAUUAGAGUGUUUCAAGCAGGCGCACGCCUUGAAUACAUUAGCAUGGAAUAAUAAGAUAGGACCUUAGUUCUAUUUUGUUGGUUUCUAGAGCUGAGGUAAUGAUUAAUAGGGAUAGUUGGGGGCAUUCGUAUUUAACUGUCAGAGGUGAAGUUCUUGGAUUUGUUAAAGACGGACUACUGCGAAAGCAUUUGCCAAGGAUGUUUUCAUUGA
rnacentral:rRNA from 1 species